UGGCUUACUUGUCUCUACUUGCUUUACAUUUUUGUUUAUCAUUCAUUCAUUUAAUUCUGCUGCUAUACAUUGUAUUUGCUGCAUAUUCACUAUAUUUCGCUUAGUUUGUUUCAAAAACCUGCAGGUACUUGUUUGAAUCUUUGGAAACCCAAUUCAUCCCUCCCUCUAGGGUUGUCUACCUAGGCAACAAAUGGUAUCAAAGCUUGGUUCUCAGCUAUAUUUGAUUUGAAAAUCUAGAGUA
rnacentral:lncRNA from 1 species